GUGCUCCUUUGACAGAACAUAUACUAAAAUUGGAAGCAUACAAAGAAGAUUAGCAUGGCCUCUUCGUAAAGAUGACAUGCAAGUUUGAAGGAUUCUGAUGGUGCAG